rnacentral:rRNA from 1 species
GCGAAACCGUUAGGAGGGAAACGAAUGCAGCUCGAUGGGGUAUGAGCGGGUUCAGGGCCGGUUAACCACCGAAGCGGCUGUGCAGACCCGUAUGGGGCUGUACCGCCGGUUUUGGGUGGUAAAUCGUCCUGCACUCCCACUAAAUGUCCGGCCAACGUCGGUUUGGUUUGGCUCUUGCGAACGGUCGGGUAGGUACCUCACUGUGCCGUUUCCGCGUGCGCAGGGAGAACUUAAAGCCGGUCGUUUUUGCAGUUGAACGUAGCAAACCGAGGAGACGUGUGGCCAUUCACACAGGCAGAGCAUGCCCGCCGUUUCUGCGGUGGGCCGGACCGCUUCUAAUCGUUGAGUAGGCCCUGCUGGGACUGUUUGCCAGUGCCAGUUGACGCUUUGUUCUCCGGGUUGGGAGGCCGGUCCCGUCUUGCUCUGCAGUCGCUGGCCAAAGAAAGGCUGCCUCCGACCCGUCUU